GGGGACUCUUAGCUCAGUGGUAGAGCAUAUGCUUUGCACACAGAAGGUUCUUGGUUCAAUCCCUGGUAUCUCCA